GAUGCAAUCUCUUGGAAUCCAAAUACUCGCUCACUAUCAGAGUAUAGUUAUCAAACAAGAACCUAGAAGUAUACGAAUUAACAGACUUGGAAAUCGCAAAAGAACAAAUCGAACACUCCUCAUAUUUCACUUCAUAGCUUUUGAAGGUCAGAGACUGAUCCCCCAACAACAACCCUGUAGAAUCGAACCAACAAGAGGGCGCUCGAGAUCUCUUGUGUGGGUAAACACAUGACGACCGUUGCAGCUAUAAUCACUCACAGUCUGUGUAGUCCUUGUCCUAACGUCCCCAACCAUAUCUCUAAAGGAAACUGACUGAUGGUAACGAUCAAGCAACAACAACAUACUGUAAUCCAAAUCAAACACAUAGACUGGGAGUACUCUACCGAGAAAUUCCUCAUCUUCCUCUGGAAUUCCAGCUACCCUCCUAAACUCUUGAGCUGAGUCAGACAAUAUCUGAUGCAAUCUCUUGGAAUCCAAAUACUCGCUCACUAUCAGAGUAUAGUUAUCAAACAAGAACCUAGAAGUAUACGAAUUAACAGACUUGGAAAUCGCAAAAGAACAAAUCGAACACUCCUCAUAUUUCACUUCAUAGCUUUUGAAGGUCAGAGACUGAUCCCCCAACAACAACCCAUCCUCACUAGCACCAUCCUUAAAACUCCUCUCAAUCGCGUUCCAGUCCAACCCACUCUGAUCCUUACCGUUCUUAGACGCAUAAAUAUGAACGAACUGAACAAUCAAGGAGUUGUCAAA
rnacentral:lncRNA from 1 species